rnacentral:lncRNA from 1 species
CAGCAUCCAUCCUGCUUCUGCCUCGGGGUUAGAAUUGGUCUUAGAGACGGGGCAGUGAGGACCUGGGUGGGGGUGGUUGGUGCCUGUGAGUUUUCAGUCUAAAAAGAGAAGCGUCUCAACAAAAUAACUGCAUGUGCACUGAUGGAUAGAUGUUGCCUGCUAGCAACAGUUACUCUAAAACCCUAGUCCAGGAACCUUAAACUCUGGCCCAACCAGUGUCUCCCUGCCCAAUUGUCCGUGGCUUCCACCAAGCUUGCACCCAAGGUCCUCGGGACACGCCCACACUUGCCAUCCUGUGCUGGGAUCUCUACCCGGGAGAGGUCAGCUUCUCUGUGCCCUCUUCAUGGACACACACCCCGUCAACCCUGGCAGACUUCUCUGUCAGAUGUGGCACCCUCCUUUGAGCACCCGUGGGUGAUCUGCAGUUCUCUUGUUUCCCCUCUGCAAUUGUAUGCAUAGAGAAAAAGAUUCCAGCCCAGACGCUGCACGGCUCAACAUGAGAGCUCCAGGAGAGGACCUGAGUUCAGUUCCUACCACUCGGAUCGCAUGGCUCAAACCACCUAUAGCCAGCGCCUUCUUCUGGACUCCAAAGACCCUCUCACACAUACAGGCAUUAAAAAAAAAACAUAAAUAAAAACAAGUGUUUUGUUUU